rnacentral:tmRNA from 1 species
GGGGGUGUAAUGGUUUCGACAUUAUGUUAGAAGCAUGAAUAGCGAGUAGUGGAUGGUCGCUUGGGCCACUAUAAAAAAGCGAAAUUAAUAAUAAACGCUGAUAAUGAAGAAUUAGCAUUAGCUGCUUAAGGUAGCUACGCCUUGUUUAAUGUUCCUACGCAUUAAAUAAAGGUGUUAUAGUUGUAGGAAACGAAGCUACUUUUGCCUAAAAGUAGUGGGUAUUAUAAGGCUAUAUUUAUAUUAAGCAUGUUUGUUUGCGUGAUAAUAAAUGAAUAAAAAUAACAAACUGCACUCGGAGAAGUUUAUGUGGAAAGUAUAGUGGACAGGAGUUCGACUCUCCUCACCUCCACCA